rnacentral:rRNA from 1 species
GUUUCGAAUUUUUCGCAAUGGGCGAAAGCCUGACGGAGCGACGCCGCGUGGGGGAUGAAGGUCUUCGGAUUGUAAACCCCUGUCAGCUGGGAACAACGAUCGAGCGCCAAUACCGCUCGGUUUUGAUAGUACCGGCAGAGGAAGCCGUGGCUAACUCUGUGCCAGCAGCCGCGGUAAUACAGAGACGGCAAGCGUUGUUCGGAUUUAUUGGGCGUAAAGGGUCCGCAGGUGGCGAGGUAAGUCUGACGUGAAAUCCCGCGGCUUAACCGCGGAACUGCGUCGGAAACUACCUUGCUAGAGGACGGCAGAGGAGACUGGAAUUCACGGUGUAGCGGUGAAAUGCGUAGAUAUCGUGAGGAACACCGGUGGCGAAGGCGAGUCUCUGGGCCGUUCCUGACACUCAGGGACAAAAGCGUGGGGAGCAAACGGGAUUAGAAACCCGAGUAGUCC